AGAGAGCCGAGCAGACACUCACACACACUCACUCCCUCAGCAGAAGAGACUAAGAUACAGUUUAGACUACAGUGAGUCCAGAGCUGCACUGAUCUUUGUGUGAUUUCACGAAGAUGGUCUCUUUAAUGGUUUGAGCACAAGAUUGCCCCAAAAGGAAUAUAUUUCCACACACCUGACGCAGAAACAUUAUUCUUCAAGGAAUUGCCAUCUAAAUCAUAGUGCCUAAAAUAAGGGCUGAAGGUCACCUUUAAUUUACUUCUGGAAGCAGAUAUGACUUGCACACCCGCAGACGAAUGAUGAAAGUGUGCAUCUUUGCUGGAAAUCCAUCCUGACAACUGGAAGUCAAAUAACAGUAAAAUACAAAGCUCGACAGUUAAAUUCACUUUUUAUUAAUUAUCACAUCGUCAACGUUAG